rnacentral:lncRNA from 1 species
GUCGAGGAGCCGUCGCCGCCAUUUCAAGACAGUGCGAGGUAGAUGUCUAACAAGAGUUCUUAAGAUUCGAGUUCAGUAUAUUCUGCCACCCCCUAAGCCUUCCAAAACACUGAUUUGGCUGCUGCCCUUUUUCUGCUACCUCUAGAAACAUUCUUGUUAGUAGUGGCGGCAGUAGAAGUCAAUUAUCCCCUUGUUCUAUCUCAAGAAGCUCCAGAUGGCGUCUUCCGUGGGCAACGUGGCCGACAGCACAGAACCAACGAAACGUAUGCUUUCCUUCCAAGGGUUAGCUGAGUUGGCACAUCGGGAAUAUCAGGCAGGAGACUUUGAGGCAGCUGAGAGACACUGCAUGCAGCUCUGGAGACAAGAGCCUGACAAUACUGGUGUUCUUUUAUUACUUUCAUCUAUACAUUUCCAGUGUCGAAGGCUGGACAGAUCUGCUCACUUUAGCACCUUGGCAAUUAAACAGAAUCCCCUUCUAGCAGAAGCCUAUUCGAAUUUGGGAAAUGUAUACAAGGAAAGAGGGCAAUUACAGGAAGCAAUUGAGCAUUAUCGACAUGCUUUGCGGCUCAAGCCUGAUUUCAUUGAUGGUUAUAUUAACCUGGCAGCAGCCUUGGUAGCAGCAGGUGACAUGGAGGGAGCAGUGCAAGCAUACGUCUCUGCUCUUCAGUACAAUCCUGAGUUAGAUCAUCUUUAAUAACAAUGGGCUCCAUCAUGAUCUUAUGUGGGAAUCAAUAACAUUCCUUCAAAUCUGAGGCUUGCCUGCUAGUGACAAGCAGAGUGCCUGUGAUUUGGCUCAAGACGCCUAUAUGAUGCAGGUGCCAUUGAAAACGCUGCUCUUCUAAGUCCUUUGUGGCUUGUAAGUGGAGAAGAAUUUCAUCCAAAUGUUACCCUGUAAUACUGGCAUUUAAAAUUCUUAUUUAACCUUCCUCCCUUCAUCUUCCUCACCCCUUUACAGUGGAAGAAAGGCUGUUAAAAUAUUGCAAAUUAAUAAUUGGAACAUCCUGCCCCUCUUGUUCCCACUUCCUCCCCAAAUUCCUUUCCCCCUUUUCCCCAAUCCUAGUUGUCUAUCUUUUUUUUCUUCCUUACUUCCUUUUCUUUUAUUCCUCCCC